CGCACAUUGCGCCCAUUAGUAUUCUAUUGGGCAUGCCUGUUCGAGCGUCAUUUCAACCCUUAAGCCUAGCUUAGUGUUGGGAAUCUACCGUGAGCGGAGCUACCCGGGACCCCUAGCGGGGCUACCCGGUAGCGCCCUGUAGUUCCUCAAAUCCAGCGGCGGAGUCGUGUUAUCCUCUGAGCGUAGUAACUAUAUCUCGCUUUUGCAGGUGGCGCGGUGCUUGCCGUAAAAACCCCCAAAUUUUUAAUGGUUGACCUCGGAUCAGGUAGGAAUACCCGCUGAACUUAA
rnacentral:misc_RNA from 1 species